rnacentral:rRNA from 1 species
UGGGGAAUAUUGCACAAUGGGCGCAAGCCUGAUGCAGCCAUGCCGCGUGUGUGAAGAAGGCCUUCGGGUUGUAAAGCACUUUCAGCGGGGAGGAAGGCGAUAAGGUUAAUAACCUCAUCGAUUGACGUUACCCGCAGAAGAAGCACCGGCUAACUCCGUGCCAGCAGCCGCGGUAAUACGGAGGGUGCAAGCGUUAAUCGGAAUUACUGGGCGUAAAGCGCACGCAGGCGGUCUGUCAAGUCGGAUGUGAAAUCCCCGGGCUCAACCUGGGAACUGCAUUCGAAACUGGCAGGCUAGAGUCUCGUAGAGGGGGGUAGAAUUCCAGGUGUAGCGGUGACAUGCGUAGAGAUCUGGAGGAAUACCGGUGGCGAAGGCGGCCCCCUGGACAAAGACUGACGCUCAGGUGCGAAAGCGUGGGGAGCAAACAGG